CUUUCUGUGAGUGAACCGACCAAUCAGUGGAACUAAUCUGGGACGAGCCUGCGAGCUCUCGUCAGAGCCGUGGGCUUGAAACCAGAGACAUUGAUGCUGCACAGGUGCUCCAGAUCCUCAACCUUAAUUAGAAUCCAAGAGUGCCGCAGUCGAAGGUUGCACCCGUGCAGGAUCGAUAGUCUCUGCUCUGUGAUUCAUCAAUGAUUUAAUCGUCAUGACAGGAUCUGGGUUUUGGAACUUUGGCCGACGACCACGAAUAGAUUUCAUGGAUCCUCGUGAAAUGUACGUCGCAGGUCAAAAUCACAAACGAGGAUCGCUUGCUUUAAAUGUUAAACACCCAACUGGACCGCGUUAGGAUCUGAAAUGUCAUCAUCCUCGGCUUGUAUUUUCGUUAAAAGAAAUUGGAAGCAGUCAUCCAGAAUAACUCGCUCACUUUGACUUAUUGCGAGGCUGCAGUCUGACGUGCACUGUUCUCCUCCUGCUGUUAGUAGUCAUCACACACCUCUCAUUAGCAGCUAGCUACAGACCGAGGCAGCACAUCAGAUGUCUGCCUUUUCAUCUGUUGCUGUUCAUGUCAUACUGGGGCGCCCGGGGGGGGUGCGCUGUUGUUUCUUUGAGAAGUA